rnacentral:tRNA from 1 species
GGUUGUAACUCAGUGGUAGAGCACUCAUCUAGCAAGUGUGAGGUACUGGGUUUGAUUCUCAGCAUGAAAAACCA